UACGUAGGGGGCUAGCGUUGUCCGGAUUUAUUGGGCGUAAAGAGCGUGUGGGCGGCCAGGUAGGUCCGCUGUGAAAACUCGAGGCUCAACCUCGAGACGUCGGCGGAAACCAUCUGGCUAGAGUCCGGAAGAGGAGAGUGGAAUUCCUGGUGUAGCGGUGAAAUGCGCAGAUAUCAGGAAGAACACCCGUGGCGAAGGCGGUUCUCUGGGACGGUACUGACGCUGAGACGCGAAAGCGUGGGGAGCGAACAGG
rnacentral:rRNA from 1 species